rnacentral:rRNA from 1 species
GCAGCCGCCGCGGGAAUACGGAGGAUCCAAGCGUUAUCCGGAAUCAUUGGGUUUAAAGGGUCCGUAGGCGGUCUUGUAAGUCAGUGGUGAAAGCCCAUCGCUCAACGGUGGAACGGCCAUUGAUACUGCAGGACUUGAAUUAUUGGGAAGUAACUAGAAUAUGUAGUGUAGCGGUGAAAUGCUUAGAGAUUACAUGGAAUACCAAUUGCGAAGGCAGGUUACUACCAAUUGAUUGACGCUGAUGGACGAAAGCGUGGGUAGCGAACAGGAUUAGAUACCCGAGUAGUCCCUGUCUAUUAUAC